GAUGAACGCUGGCGGCGUGCCUAAUACAUGCAAGUCGAGCGAACAGAUAAGGAGCUUGCUCCUUUGACGUUAGCGGCGGACGGGUGAGUAACACGUGGGUAACCUACCUAUAAGACUGGGAUAACUUCGGGAAACCGGAGCUAAUACCGGAUAACAUUUGGAACCGCAUGGUUCUAAAGUGAAAGAUGGUUUUGCUAUCACUUAUAGAUGGACCCGCGCCGUAUUAGCUAGUUGGUAAGGUAACGGCUUACCAAGGCGACGAUACGUAGCCGACCUGAGAGGGUGAUCGGCCACACUGGAACUGAGACACGGUCCAGGCUCCUACGGGAGGCAGCAGUAGGGAAUCUGCCGCAAUGGGCGAAAGCCUGGCGGAGCAACGCCGCGUGAGUGAUGAAGGGGUUCGGCUCGUAAAACUCUGUUAUUAGGGAAGAACAAAUGUGUAAGUAACUGUGCACGUCUUGACGGUACCUAAUCAGAAAGCCACGGCUAACUACGUG
rnacentral:rRNA from 1 species